rnacentral:rRNA from 1 species
CAAAAACAUCGCCUCUUGAAUAAACUUAUAAGAGGUCCUGCCUGCCCAGUGAUGCAAGUUUUAACGGCCGCGGUAUUUUGACCGUGCAAAGGUAGCGCAAUCAAUUGUCCUUUAAAUGGAGACCUGUAUGAAUGGUAUUACGAAAACUCAACUGUCUCAUUCUUUUGACCAAUGAAAUUGAUCUCUCCGUGCGGAAGCGGGGAUAAAAACAUUAGACAAAAAGACCCUGUGGAGCUUUAGACUAGUCAGCUUAAAUUUUUAUAAGUUCUAUCUUAUAAUUUUAAAUUCUGCUUACGUCUUAGGUUGGGGCGAUCACGGAGAAAACAUAUCCUCCAUGAAGGAAAAUAUAAAUUUUAACAAUCUAAGAGCUACCGCUCUAAACACUAAAACAUUUAACUUUAUGAACCGGCUUGCCGAUUAACGAACCCAGUUACCCCAGGGAUAACAGCGCAAUCCCCUUAAAGAGCACUUAUCGCUAAGGGGGUUUACGACCUCGAUGUUGGACCAGGGCAUCCUAAUGGUGCAUCUACUGUUAAGGGUUCGUUUGUUCAACGAUUAAAGCCCUACGUGAU